rnacentral:siRNA from 1 species
ACCCAGAUGGGUUUUUGAUUUAGU